rnacentral:rRNA from 1 species
UACGUAGGGUGCGAGCGUUGUCCGGAAUUAUUGGGCGUAAAGAGCUCGUAGGCGGUUUGUCGCGUCGGCCGUGAAAACUUGGGGCUUAACCCCAAGCCUGCGGUCGAUACGGGCAGACUUGAGUUCGGCGGGGGAGACUGGAAUUCCCGGUGUAGCGGUGAAAUGCGCAGAUAUCGGGAGGAACACCUGUGGCGAAGGCGGCUGCCUGGACGACGAUUGACGCUGAGACGCGAAAGCGUGGGGAGCAAACAGG